rnacentral:rRNA from 1 species
UACGUAGGGUCCAAGCGUUAUCCGGAAUCACUGGGCGUAAAGCGUGCGUAGGUGGUAACUUGCGUGCAAUGCGAAAUUGUGUGGCUCAACCAUACAACGUUGUUGCAUACGGGGUUACUAGGAGGACAUGAGAGGCAAGUGGAAUUACUGGUGUAGCAGUGAAAUGCGUAGAUAUCAGGAGGAACACCGGUGGCGAAGGCGGGUCUCUGGGCCGAUACUGACGCUGAGGAGCGAAAGCGUGGGGAGCGAACAGG